UACGUGGGGUGCGAGCGUUAAUCGGAAUUACUGGGCGUAAAGCGUGCGCAGGCGGCUUCGCAAGUCAGGCGUGAAAUCCCCGGGCUUAACCUGGGAAUGGCGUCUGAAACUACGGAGCUGGAGUGUGGCAGAGGGAGGUAGAAUUCCACGUGUAGCGGUGAAAUGCGUAGAUAUGUGGAGGAAUACCGGUGGCGAAGGCGGCAUCCUGGACCAUUACUGACGCUGAGGCGCGAAAGCUAGGGGAGCAAACGGG
rnacentral:rRNA from 1 species